rnacentral:misc_RNA from 1 species
GGGAGUGAAGGACAACUGGAUGAAUGCAAUUUGUUCUCAAGGCCAAUCUCUGUUAUCCCUUGAUAUUUCUUGCUCUGAUGUAACAAAUUCUGGAUUGGUUUUCCUUAAAGGGUGUCCCAACCUUCAGUGCUUGACAUCUAAUUACUGCGAUGAGAUCUCAGAAGUUGGUCUCGUACACUUAUCUGGUCUUUCAAAUUUGACUUCUUUAAGCUUUAAGAAAAACACAACUUUCACCGCAGAAGGGAUGAAAGCAUUUACGAACUUAGUCAACCUGAAACAUUUGGAUCUUGAGAGAUGCAUAGGGAUUCAUCGGGGGCUAGUUCAUUUGAAAGGAUUAACCAAACUUGAAUCUCUCAAUGUCAGAUACUGUAACUGGAUAAUGGAUUCAGAUAUGAAGUCUCUUUCAGGCCUUACAAACUUACAAGAGUUGCAAAUGUCGUGC